rnacentral:lncRNA from 1 species
GAUACGGUAGUUCGUUACAAAGUUUAGCUGGGAACAAAGCGCGGAAUCCAGACAACGCAAGUUCGCCAGUCAACCAUGCAAGCAAGCGCAAGUCAGAACCCGCCCACCCGCCCGUCGAUGUGGUGGGGAGAGGGGAGGAAGACGAGCCACGAUGCGAGCGCCAGGGCCAAGAGGGGCAGCACCAGCAGGAGGCGGAAGCUAGGAUCUGGGACCGGAGCCGCGAGGGACACGAGUGGGCCGAGAGGCGUCGGUAUAACGCUCCAGGACUUGAGCGCUGCGAAUUUGGGAGAAUGCGUGGAGCUCCGCGCGGGAAGCGCCAGCGGCCUGCGUGGCCUGGAUAGUACCACGACGAAACCCAUGAGGGGUUUGCCCGACGUAGACACCAGCCUCCUCCAGGUGUUUGCCCACUCGCAUGGCUAACGCGCUGCUGGAAAAUGGACGCUCCACGAAGCGUUGGUGACCCCGGUCGGUGGGACGGAAGAGGUAGUCGGAGAUUGCAGACCCUGGGGGGGCGUCGGGGGCAUAGCACAGCUGCCAAUAGAGGGCGAGGGUGCGGAUGAAGCAAUGUCGGGGAGAAGGGUCGGGGCGCAGUUCCAAGGGGGGGGCUCGACGCCCCUUGGAUGUUUUGGUCCCGAGUUGUUCGAUCCGUAAGGAAAGCGAGGGGUAGGCACCAAACGGGUCCGGCAGAGGUAGGGGAAACCCACGGAAGGGACCCCCACCACGCGGGUCACGGAAGUCACG